UACGUAGGCAGCAAGCGUUGUUCGGAGUUACUGGGCGUAAAGGGUGUGUAGGCGGUUGGAUAAGUGUGGUGUGAAAUCUCCCGGCUCAACUGGGAGGGUGCGCUACAAACUGUCUGACUAGAGUGUGGGAUGGGUAAGUGGAAUUCCUGGUGUAGAGGUGAAAUUCGUAGAUAUUCGCAAGAACACCAGUGGCGAAGGCGGUUCUCUGGGCCUGACCUGACGCUGAGGAGCGAAAGCGUGGGGAGCGAACAGG
rnacentral:rRNA from 1 species